AGCUUUGCACAGUGGCAGUAUUGUAGCCAAUGAGGUUUACCCGAGGUGCAAUUAUUGGCUAAUUAAACUAUCUCACUGACCAA
ensembl:snRNA U4 U4 spliceosomal RNA